GGGGAUUUAGCUCAGUGGUAGAGCGCUUGCCUAGCAAGUCCAAGGCCCUGGGUUCGGUCCCCAGCUCCG
rfam:Rattus norvegicus chromosome 14, whole genome shotgun sequence.